AUUUACGGUGCGUUAAGAGCGUUGGAGACAUUCAGCCAAUUGUGUGCUUUUGAUUAUACAUCUAAAUCGGUGCAAAUAUUCAGAUCCCCUUGGUGCAUCAAAGAUAAACCGAGGUUUGCAUAUCGUGGGCUUUUGCUCGACACAUCAAGGCACCUUUUUCCGGUUGAUGUCAUUAGGUCGAUAAUUGAAUCAAUGUCUUAUGCUAAACUCAAUGUUCUUCAUUGGCACAUCAUAGAUGACCAGGCUUUUCCUCUCGAGGUACCUGCAUACCCAAAACUGUGGAAUGGUGCUUACUCAAAAUGGGAGUGAUAUACUGUUGAGGAUGUGAGUCAAAUUGUCAGAUUUGCCAAAACGAGAGGUGAGAUUGAUCUUUCAAGUUAUUAACAAUUUAAACAUAACAUUUUAUGCUGGCCUUUGAAGAUACCUAUGUUGGACAUAUACAUGUAUCCGACGCUUAAACCUAAAUUUGAGUAACAUAGACGUGACUUAAACCUAAAUUUGAGUAACAUUUUAGAGAGGCUCAUCCAAAGAUUUGUGUGGAGUGCGAAUUCUGAGUCCAGGAAAAUAUCUUUAAUCAAUUGGGAGACGAUGAAGCUCUCAAUUGAUGAUAGAUGAUUGGGCUUUAAGGACUUGGAAAGACAAAACCAUGCCUUCCUAAUGAAGAUUGGAAUGCAACUUAUAGAUGGAUUUGACAAGCUUUGGAUAAAUGUGCUUAAAGGUAAAUAUAGAUGGAGUGAAGAUUUGCCUGUUGAUAUCCUCCACCCUCAUUGCUCUCGCCUGUGGAAGGGUUUAUGUUGCAUUUUGGAAAAUGUAAGACACGACAUAAUUUGUAACAUUCGGGAUGUUGUGAAGACCGAUUUUUGGAGGAAUACUUGGCUUGAAGAUACGGGGCCUCUCGUUGAUCAUUGCUUGCCGUCUGGAGCGCCGCAACCUUUGCUGGUGUGUUUGUUGAUCACGGCGUCAGGAGAGUGGGAUUGGUUCAAGUUGAGGUCGCUUGUUCUUGAGUGGGUCUGCAAUCGAAUAGUUUGUUGUUUAUCCUCCGAGAUUGACCCUUGGUAAAGAUAUUCCGGGUUGGGGACGGGAAGCAAAUCGUACCUUUAUGGUUUGAUCCUCCUACCGUGCGCUGUCUUCACCGGGUCAUAAUCGGGCUGACUUACCGUGGAAACAGGUGUGGAAGCUUAAUGUGCCACAGAGGACUAAAUCAUUCCUCUAGUUAACUUUCCAUGGUAAAUUGUUGACCAACAUGGAGCGAUACUGCCGACACAUUGACACAUCGGAGAGGUGCUCGGUGUGUCAGGAUGAAGAUGAAUACGUUAGCCAUGUCCUUCGUCGUUGUGUGUUUACUCGGAAUAUAUGGUAAUGGCUAAUUGUUGAAGAUAAGCUCCAUCUUUUUCUCUCGAUUCCUUAUGAGGAGUGGUGUUUAAUGAAUAUCAAAGACCAAGGUAACUUCUCCUUUAUUCCCAACAAUUGGAAUACCCUG